UGGGGAAUAUUGGACAAUGGGCGCAAGCCUGAUCCAGCAAUGCCGCGUGAGUGAUGAAGGCCUUAGGGUUGUAAAGCUCUUUCGCACGCGACGAUGAUGACGGUAGCGUGAGAAGAAGCCCCGGCUAACUUCGUGCCAGCAGCCGCGGUAAUACGAAGGGGGCUAGCGUUGUUCGGAAUUACUGGGCGUAAAGGGCGCGUAGGCGGCCUGUUUAGUCAGAAGUGAAAGCCCCGGGCUCAACCUGGGAAUAGCUUUGGAUACUGGCAGGCUUGAGUUCCGGAGAGGAUGGUGGAAUUCCCAGUGUGAGAGGUGAAAUUCGUAGAUAUUGGGAAGAACACCGGUGGCGAAGGCGGCCAUCUGGACGGACACUGACGCUGAGGCGCGAAAGCGUGGGGAGCAAACAGAUUAGAUACCCUGGUAGUCCACGCCGUAAACGAUGAAUGCU
rnacentral:rRNA from 1 species